UACGUAGGGCGCAAGCGUUUGUCCGGAAUUAUUGGGCGUAAAGAGCUCGUAGGCGGCUUGUCACGUCGGGUGUGAAAGCCCGGGGCUUAACCCCGGGUCUGCAUUCGAUACGGGCUGGCUGGAGUGUGGUAGGGGAGAUCGGAAUUCCUGGUGUAGCGGUGAAAUGCGCAGAUAUCAGGAGGAACACCGGUGGCGAAGGCGGAUCUCUGGGCCAUUACUGACGCUGAGGAGCGAAAGCGUGGGGAGCGAACAGG
rnacentral:rRNA from 1 species